rnacentral:ncRNA from 1 species
CAGCACGGCCACGUCAGGGGUUGUCCGGCUUGCCGGACCGAAGAGGGAAUUUCGGUGCGAAUCCGAAGCUGCUCCCGCAACUGUGACCGGAGAGUCUGCACUCAUCCAUGCCACUGGCGGCCGCUGUGUCUCCGGGAAGGCGAGGGCAGGCGGUGAUCCGGGAGCCAGGAGACCUGCCCGAUUUGACGGUCGUUC